rnacentral:lncRNA from 1 species
GGGACUCUUUCCCUAAGGAUCUAACUCAAAUGACUUCAUGUUCCAAGCAAAGACAGAGUCUUGUUCGGUCGCGCAUGCUGGCGUACAGUGCCACAAUCACAGCUCACCGCAGCUUCCAACUUCUGGACUCACGUGAUCCUUCUGCCUCAGACUUCCAAGUACCUGGGACUGCAGGCACGAAUCACCACAGCCAGCUUGGAGUGACUUUCUAAGGGUAAUUACAAAAGUAAACUUCUUUAACAUAGCUAUAUCACAGCACGAGUGGGAGGAAGGAAGAUGAGGAGGAGAUGGUUCUUCCUACUGGUCCUAAAAAUGCUCUUGAGUGAUAUCUCUACAAUCAAGGUUUGUAUGAAUUUGCAAGCAGGAAUUCAGGUGAGCAAAUUUAUGGUGGGCAGAAUUUUGACCCCUGUGAUCUUUGUCCUCUGGUAUAAAGCCUUAUGAAUAUGUUGCUUCACGGCAAAAGGGAAUUCAGUUUGAUAACCAUUUGAUUUUAAAAUAGCGAGAUUAUCCUGGAUUAUCUGGGUAGAAAUGGAAGUGGAAAAGGAAGGCAGAGAGUUGGUUAGAAAGAUGUAAUGGAAAAAGAGGCAGGAGAGAUUCAGAACAUGAGAAGGACUCAACCUGCCCCUGCUGGCUUCACAGAUGGAGGAUGGGGGCCCUGAGCCAGAGAACAUGGGUUAUCUCUAGAAGCUGAGACUAGCCUUUAGCUGACAGCAGGAAAAUAACCACCACAAGGAACUGAAUUCUGCCAACAUCUAGAUAAGCAAGAAAACAGAUUAUCCUUUAGAACCUCCAAAAGAAUCCAGCCUGCCAACAUCUAGAUUUUAGUCCUGUGGGAUCCAUGUCAGAUUUCUGACAUACAGAGCUGUAAGAUAAAUAAUGUAUGUUGGUAGGAGGGGUUGGAGGAAAAAAAGUAUCUAUUAAAAAGCCAGUAAAUUGACUACUCUGCCUAUGGAGUAGCCAUUCUCUAUUCCUUUACUUUCCUAAUAAACUUGCUUCCACUUUAUU